UGCUAUCGAUUUUCUAUGGUAUUUAUUUGCCAGUGGUGGUGAGAAGUGAAUUUUCUCCAAGGUUUGGUGAUGAAUUGGUUUUAUAUAUGUAUGAGGGUGUUGGAGUUAUUAUUAUUAUUUAUUAUUCAUUGAGGAGAUACGCUUGCUGAUAAUAGUUAAACCAUGGUCUAAUGAACUUGUAGUUUAAAUAGCUUGUUAAAGCAAGUUACUUGCUGAGAUUUUAUAUCUCACCCCCUUUUUUUUUAUCCUCUCAGGUACUUGAUGGAUGGAUGCUUUGCUUGGGGGUUGGGAAGUAGGAGCACGUCACACACUUCUCUUUAAUCAAAAUCCUCUAGUGUGAUGCUGUAAUAUUUAAUCCCUUCCCUAUGAGAGUCUGUUUGUUGCUUAAUGAUGGUUAACCUUUGUUAAACCUUGCCUUAAUCGUUUUCAUAUCAUGUUAGGAUCUUUUAUUUAUGCUAGUGUGCUUUAUCUAUUUUCAUAUCUUAUUGUUUCUUGCUUCCGCGUUGUUCCUAUUUUAGGGAAGAUGCUGUCAAAAUCUUUCCCUGUUGUCUGAUGUUUGUUUUUCUUGGGCUGUUACAGUUGGUAUCAGAGCUUAGGUUAAUUUAAUCCUAGGAAAAAUAAGGUCUAAUUUGACACACUUGCACUUGUAGGUUGGGUACGGGUACAUUUGUGUGUAUGGAUUAUUUUGUCUUUAUGCAUACUUUAAAUUGUUGGAGCCUGAUAUUUGUGUUGUUUGUGUCUUGUGGUGGCUGCAGUUAUGGUGCCUAAGAAGCAAGGUCGGGCACGACCAGCGAGCGGUGCCCAAGCUGAUGGCACUAGUCAGGCUGCUCGUGCGGGUGCAGCACAACCUAAUCCUACUACCUCUACUCAGGAAGUUGCUGCCCCAGUUGGCUCUGAGAGUGGUGUCUCGCUGAGAGAGUGGGUUGGCAUGAAGCUGGAUAGUUUUGAUGGCAGUGGUACUCCUAUUCAGGCUGCUGAUUGGUUGUCAUAUGUGGAGGAUAAGAUAGAAGCUUUUGAGGUGUCAGCUCAUGAUCGUGUUCGUUAUGGGGCAUAGUUACUAAAGGGUGAGGCACAGAUUUGGUGGAAGGAUGUGCAGUCAGCUCGCACGGCUGCGCAUGGUUCUUUAACUUGGCCUGAGUUUGUUAGGCAGUUUGAGAGGAGGUUUUACCCAGUGACCUUCCUGGACAAGAUGAAAAUUGAGCUAAAUAACUAUGUGCAGGAAAGGAAGACAGUGGCUGAGUAUGAGGUGGGGUUCAACCAGAUUGUUCGCUUUGUUCCAUAUGUGGCCCAUGAUGAUGCAGAGAAAGCAAGGCAAUUUCGUCAAGGCCUUAAGCCUUCAAUUCGCCAUGUGUUGGGUGCCUUUGAAGUCACAGACUUUCGCUCCAUGGUAGAGAAAGCCUUGGGAGUUGAGAUGCAGCUCCAAGUCACAGCUGAUCUAAAUAAGUCUUUGAGUGGUGACCAGUCUCGUGGUCAGGGUGACAAGAAGGGCCAUUCUGGUGGUCAUGUUCAUAGGAAGGGCAAGUUUCAGCGUCACCAGCUGUACUAUGGUGGUUCAGCUCAGUCUCGUACUCCAAGAGGGAGUACUCCUAAGUAUCGUGCCAUUCCCAAACCUGGCACGGGGAUGAUGUGCUUCAAAUGUGGAGAUGCGCAUUGUCUUCGAGAGUGCCGAUGGUCCGGCAAGUGCACUAUUUGUGGUCAAGAUCACAAGGACGUGGUUUGUAGGAAGAAUCUUGAUGCCAAGCUUCGUUGGGAGCUAGUGUCUUCUUCAGCUCCCAAUGGUGCAUUCCAUAUGAUGGCGGCUGCAUCUUCUACUCCUCACCUACCUGCACCGCCACUGCAGCAGUACCUACUUGCAUCGCCACCGCAGCAGUACCUACCUGCCCCUACACCUCAGUACUUGCUAGCGCCACCGGUUACUCCGUCGGCUGCCCCUAUGCUUCAGACUGGGGCUUACUGGAUGGCCCAUGCUACUCCUUCAGCACCCAUGGUUCCAUGGGCUCCCACUCCGACGGGUCCUACUUCGGGUGCCUCUUCUUCGUCUGGCGUUCCAGGGGCAUAUGUUAUGCCUGCCCCUAAUGCUAGAGAUCGUGGUGACGUGGUAACAGGUAUCAUCUCAGUUGAUUCUUAUGAUGCUCAUGCUCUUUUUGAUUCUGGAGCUAGUUUCUCUUUCAUCUCAGAGGCUUUUGUUGGUCGUUUGGGUCUUUUUGUUGAAAGGAUUGGGGAGGCUAUCGUUGUUAGUUCUGCUAGAGGGCUUGUUUCGAGUUCUAUAGUUUGUCCAGGCUGUGUUGUCACUCUUGCAGAUGAGGAUUUUAUUGCUAACUUAGUGGUGAUUCCGUUGGAGCCUUUUGAUGUGAUUCUUGGCAUGGACUGACUCUCCCAGUAUAAGGCCGUUAUCUCUUGUUUCUGGAAAACAAUCACUUUGCAAGCACCAUCAGGACGAGAGAUGAUCUUUCAAGGGAGUGGUUUGAAGUACUCUAUCUCCUUGUUGUGUCAGUUAUUUCCUAAUCGAUGGACACAAAAAAACUGGUAUUCUUUUUGUGAUGAUUGGUGAUCAGGAGGUUCCCUUGCGAGUGGAUGAUAUUACAGUGAUUUGUCGCUAUCCAGAUGUUUUCCCAGAUGAGCUCCCAGGUUUGCCUCCUGAAAGAGAGGCUAUUUUCCACAUAAAGUUGGUUCCUGGAACGCAACCUAUAUAUAAGACACCAUACAAGAUGGCUCUUGUGGAGCAGGUGGAGUUAAAGAAGCAAUUGGAUGAACUUCUUGCUAAAGGGUUUAUCCGACCAAGCACGUCACCUUGGGCUGCCCCAGUCUUGUUCGUAGAAAAGAAGGAUGGCACUAAAAGACUUUGUGUUGAUUAUUGAGCACUUAAUCAAGUAACAAUCAAGAACAAGUACCCUUUGCCUCGUAUUGAUGCUCUCUUUGAUCAAUUGAGAGGUGCCAAGGUAUUCUCUAAGAUUGACUUGCAAUCUGGUUACCAUCAACUACGUAUCAAGAGGAUAUUGAGAAGACGACUUUUAAUACCAGGUAUGGGCAUUAUGAGUACGUGGUUAUGUCUUUUGGACUAACAAAUGCCCCUGCUGUUUUUAUGGAGGCCAUGAACAGAAUGUUGCAUGAGUACUUGGAUAUUUUUGUUGUGGUAUUCAUCGAUGAUAUCUUAGUUUACUCCAAGUCAGAGGAGGAGCAUAAGGUUCAUCUCAGUCUUGUCUUGGAUGCACUCCGGAAGAACAAGUUCUAUGCAAAGUUGAAGAAAUGUGCAUUUUGGCUUUCUGAAGUGAGCUUCCUUGGUCAUGUCAUUAAUCAACAUGGCAUUAAGGUGGAUACUAAAAAUGUUGCCUCAGUGGUGGAAUGGCAAAGACCAACCAAUGUAACAGAGGUUCGGAGCUUUCUUGGGCUUGCAGGUUAUUAUCGGCGUUUCGUGCAAGGUUUCUCAAUUGUUGCUAAGCCAAUGACUAAUCUCAGUAAGAACGGUGUUCCAUUCAUAUCGACUAAAGAGUGUGAGGCCAGUUUCCAAACUCUAAAGAAUAAGUUAGUGAAUGCUCCUAUAUUGACAUUACCUGAGAGCGGCAAACGCUUCACUUUGUAUACAGAUGCUUCUUGAAUCGAGCUUGGUUGUGUGCUUAUGCAAGAAGGUAAAGUGAUUGCUUAUGCAUCAAGGCAAUUGAAGAAGCAUGAGCAAAAUUACCCCACACAUGAUUUAGAGUUGGCUGCAGUUAUUUUUGCUCUAAAGAUUUGGAGGCAUUAUCUUUAUGGAGAGUCAUGUGAUAUAUUUACAGAUCACCAAAGUCUCAAAUAUAUUUUCACACAAAAAGAACUCAACUUGAGGCAACGGAGAUGGUUAGAAUUGAUUAAGGACUAUGAUCUCACCAUCCAGUACCAUCCAAGAAAGGCAAAUGUGGUGGCAGAUGCUCUUAGUAUGACAGGUGUUCCUAAGACAGUGAUGUCCUUGAUUGUUGAUAUGGAUCGCAUGGGGGUUUCAUUUUGUUAUGCGGGCGUUGCACAUCAAGAUACUCAAAUGCUUAUUCAGUCUCCCAUAGUUGAUCAGGUGCGUGAGGCUCAACAACAUGAUCGUUUGCUUCAAGAGGUUCGAAAGAGAAUUUUGGGGGCUAGACCACGGGAGUUCACCAUAGAUGAACAUGGUGCUAUUCGCUUUAGAGGGCGUCUUUGUGUGCCACAAAAUUCUGAUGUGAAGAUGGAUAUAAUUCGGGAGGCACAUCGAACACCUCACACAAUUCACCCUGGUAAGACCAAGAUGUAUCGGGAUUUAAAGAAAAAUUUUUGGUGGAAAAGGAUGAAAGUUGAUGUUGCCAAAUAUGUAGCAUCUUGUGGAAUUUGUCAGCAAGUUAAGGCAGAACAUAAAAAGCCUGCGGGUUUAUUACGGCCUUUGGAGAUCCCUGAGUGGAAAUGGGAACAUGUCACCAUGGACUUCGUGGUCGAGUUACCUCGCUCACCUCGAGGGAGAGAUGCCAUAUGGGUUAUUGUGGAUAGACUCACUAAGUCUGCACAUUUCAUUCCGAUGAAGUCAACUAGUUCAGCACCAGAUUUGGUUCCCUUAUACAUGAGAGAAGUGCUAAGGCUUCAUGGUGUGCCAAAGUCCAUUGUUUCAGAUCGAGAUCCCAAGUUUGUGUCUAACUUCUGGCAAAGCUUGCAUAGUGCAUUGGGCACAAAUUUGACUCUUAGCACUACUUUCCACCCUCAGACUGAUGGUCAGUCGGAGAGGACUAUUCAGACCUUAGAGGACAUGCUUCAUGCUUGUGUUCUUUCAUGGAAAGGUAGUUGGGAGGAUCAUCUAUCUUUGGCAGAGUUCGCUUAUAAUAACAGCUAUCAAGCUAGUAUCAAGAUGGCUCCAUUUGAGGCUUUGUAUGGUAGGAAGUGUAUUUCUCCCAUAUGCUGGGAAACUUUGGGUGAGAGAUCUUUGAUUGGUCCAGAUUGGGUCCGAGAGACAUCUGAAAAGGUGCGGGAGAUACGACAGAAUUUGUUGGCUGCUCAGAGCCGGCAGAAGAGUUAUGCUGAUGUGAGGAGGUGAGAUCUAGAGUUUGCAGUGGGGUGACCAUGUUCUUCUUAGGGUAUCGCCAACCAAAGGUGUUGUGAGGUUUGGCACCAUAGGAAAGCUUAGCCCAAGGUACAUUGGUCCAUUUGUGAUCACAGCCCGUGUUGGCAGUUUGGCAUAUCGCUUGCAGCUUCCAGAAUCAUUAAAGCAAGUGCACAAUGUUUUCCAUGUAUCUAUGUUAAGAAAAUAUUUGAGGGAUCCUGAGCACAAGAUUGAUUUGGAGCCACUUAUUGUGGAGCCAAAUCUAAUUAUGGAAUGUCACCCAGAACGCAUCUUAGACUCAUCCGAGCGAGUCAUGAGAAAGAGGACCAUCAAAUAUGUCAAGUUUAUAUGGAGUAAUCAGUCUGAGCGUGAAGCGACUUGGGAGCUCGAGGACCAAAUGCGCAAGAAGUACCCACAACUCUUUGAGAGCGGUAAGUUUUAAUUUAUCAAGUUGGUAUAUCUUAGAGUAGUUGAAUUCGGGGACGAAUUCUUUAAAGGAGGGGAGAAUGUAACACACAAAAAAAAAAUCAAAGGCCCAGCCAGCCCAACCCUUUUCCAUAGCCCGUUGCCCCCCCUCCCAUCUUAUCCAGACCGGUCCUCUCUCCCUUCUCACGUUUCUUCCUCCUUCGCUGCUCUCCCAUGGCUUCCCUUCCCUAAAUCCCCUCUCUACAGCAGCAAACCCUUGGGGGAAUUAGCAAAACGAAUCGAGGACAACAAGAGGAGCAAGAAAGGUGCAUCUUCCAUGUAGAUCGGUCCUUUCCCCAUAUCUUCCCGCUGCCCUAGGGUUUGGGGAACCACCAAGGUGGUAACGCUCUGGAUCACGCUUGGAGCGGUUGUCUCCUUCAUUGGGAGGCAAGUAACGUAGCGGUGGUUGCUACAAGCUUUAAUUUGCUAUUUUUGCUACCUCCACCUUGAAUUUCAGAAUGAUAACUUAUCCAAUAUCAUCCAUUCAAUUACAAGUUUAUGCACAUCUUACUGUUGUUAUUACAUAUGCCUUGUUCUUUACUUUAUAACUUGGUAAUGGCUCUUGUUGGCAUAAUUAUGAUGAGGUUUAUGUUGUCAAAUGAGGAAAGACUUAUCUGGUAUAAGCGGUGUAUACUCUCUUUGUGUGAUCUGUCUUGGCAUUGCAUUUCAUUGCAUCACAAUGCAUGGCAUAUGGAGUUAAGUCGCCGCUUGAUAGCCGCGAUCGUACUGGUACAGCAUUGUUUAUUGGGCAUAACGAUGCAGCUUCAUACUUUGUUGAGUAUGAAGGCAGGAGACAUGGUAUUUGCAUUGCAUUUGCAUUUAGGGUGCUAUCGAUUUUCUAUGGUAUUUAUUUGGCAGUGGUGGUGAGAAGUGAAUUUUCUCCAAGGUUUGGUGAGGAAUUGGUUUUAUAUAUGUAUGAGGGUGUUGGAGUUAUUAUUAUUAUUUAUUAUUCAUUGAGGAGAUAUGCUUGCUGAUAAUAGUUAAACCAUGGUCUAAUGAACUUGUAGUUUAAAGAGCUUGUUAAAGCUAGUUACUUGCUGAGAUUUUAUAUCUCACCCCUUUUUUUUAUCCUCUCAGGUACUUGAUGGAUGGAUGCUUUGCUUGGGGGUUGGGAAGUAGCAGCACGUCACACACUUCUCUUUAAUCAAAAUCCUAUAGUGUGAUGCUGUAAUAUUUAAGUCCUUCCCUAUGAGAGUCUGUUUGUUGCUUAAUGAUGGUUAAGCUUUGUUAAACCUUGCCUUAAUCGUUUGCAUAUCAUGUUAGGAUCUUUUAUUUAUGCUAGUGUGCUUUAUCUAUUUUCAUAUCUUAUUAUUUCUUGCUUCCGCGGUGUUCCUGUUUUAGGGAAGAUGCUGUCAAAAUCUUUCCCUAUUGUCUGGUGUUUGUUUUUCUUAGGCUGUUACAUAAUCUAGCUCAAUGCAAUUGACCAAGAGCUCAGGUGAUAAUAAGGCUGAUCCCAGUGCACUUGCCGACCUGACCAGCGACCACUUCCC
rnacentral:lncRNA from 1 species